AGAGGCUCCCGCGGUGGGAGACUGAGCGAGGAGGCUGGAGCUGCCGCUGGACCGCGCGCCUUCCAGGUUUUCAAAUAAACCAAUUUUCAGGGGAGAAAGGAUGUAAGACGCCGUCCGAAGGGGAAGGCAGUUCCGGAUUCAGAGAAUACGAUGUUCAGGAGGGUUUGGACAUCCACCCAAGUGGGGAAAGGAGUGUGGAAUAUUCCCCAGACUAAAUUAAGGACCCCCUUGGUAUCUUCCUUCAAGCCCUUGGAUCGAUCCUUCCAGUUACACAGAUCUGAGGAAGAUAAGGGUACGUGCACAGUGGUCAGUCUGCCCUCUCCAUUAGGGACCUCCGAAAGGGGGAACAGCCUAUUGCUUCCAGAGGGCUGGUACUGAAUGCCGCUAUGGGUGUGCACUGGACUAGUCCCCAAGGGAGGCAUGCCAAGAGAUGGAGGUGGGCAAGUCGGGGAGGUGGCAAGGGCACCAGGUAGGGUGGUUGUGAAUUGGAGGGAGUAGAAGGUGUCAGGAACCAGGUCAGGUAGCGGUAGAUGACUCAGGAGUCUCGGGUGAACUGUCAGAAGGGGAAGAAGCUACCCUUGGCAGAGAGAGGAAGUCAAGAGAAUCUUCAGGCUGAGAUUCAAUACCAGGAGAGAGAGAGAUGAGAGAUGAUAACCUCGCAUUUCUCAUGGAGGCCCUUGUUUUCGCAAAGCACCAUGAAAAAUUGGACAUAGGGGAUUUCAUCCCAUAUUUUUCAAAUGCUGGCAAUAGAAGUCCAAUUGAAAAAUGAUAUUAUAAUUUAGAGAGCCAUUAGUUGGCCAACUUUCUCCAUCCACCAGUUAAUACUGGGGCCAUGUGAUGUUGCAAAAGAAAACAAGCUGUUUGUUAGUGGGCGGUAAUUUCUAGUUAUGGAGGAUGCACCCUAGUGGCGAUUUCGCUGGGAUGGAGGCUUAGUUACCCCUACUGGGGAGUCCUUAUUUCUAGUCUGUUUCCAACUUCCCAGUGGCCUCCUCCUAGGGUUGGUGGCGAAGCAGAUCCCACAAGAUCUAGCUCACACCAAGUGAUCUAGGUGCUGUAACUGAAACGUGAACCAAUCUUUGUGGGGGAUGGGAGGGGCGAUGCUGUCUAAGAGGGCCUUAGUUAUGAGGUCCCCUCUCUCUCUCUCUUUUUUUUUUUUUUGGCUGCGUUGGGUCUUCGUUGCUGCCCACGGGCUUUCUCUAGU